CUUGCUUUCUUUGCUGGCGACCGGCGCACGGGUGAGUAACACGUAUCCAACCUGCCCUUUACUCGGGGAUAGCCUUUCGAAAGAAAGAUUAAUACCCGAUAGCAUAAUGAUUCCGCAUGGUUUCAUUAUUAAAGGAUUCCGGUAAAGGAUGGGGAUGCGUUCCAUUAGGUUGUUGGUGAGGUAACGGCCCACCAAGCCUUCGGUGGAUAGGGGUUCUGAGAGGAAGGUCCCCCACAUUGGAACUGAGACACGGUCCAA
rnacentral:rRNA from 1 species